rnacentral:pre_miRNA from 15 species
UCGUAACUUGUGUGGCUUCGAAUGUACCUCGUCGAGCGAAAAGCGAAUUCAUUGUUGGAUUUUGUUGCUCUUGGUAUUCGAGCCAAUAAGUUCGG